rnacentral:rRNA from 1 species
GACGAACGCUGGCGGCGUGCUUAACACAUGCAAGUCGAACGGCAAGGCCCUGCUUUCGUGGGGUGAUCGAGUGGCGAACGGGUGCGUAACACGUGAGUAACCUGACCUUGACUUUGGGAUAACUUCAGGAAACUGGGGCUACUACCGGAUCGGAGCUCCUGCUGCAUGGUGGGGGUUGGAAAGUUUCGGCGGUUGGGGUUGGAUUCGCGGCUUAUCAGCUUGUUGGUGGGGUAGUGGCUUACCAAGGCAUUGACGGAUAGCCGGCCUGGGAGGGUGACCGGCCACAUUGGGACUGAGAUACGGCCCAGACUCCUACGGGGGGCAGCAGUGGGGAAUAUGGCACAAUGGGCGGAAGCCUGUGGCAGCAACGCCGCGUGCGUGAUGACGGCCUUUGGGUUGUGAACCGCUGUCGCCUGUUACGAAGCGGGAGUGACGGUAAUGAGUAAAGAAGCACCGGCUAACUACGUG